rnacentral:lncRNA from 1 species
GGAAGGGGUACAGCCUGGCUGCACCUCUCUUCGACCUCACUUAAAGGCUGACUGCUACUAGGGAAGGAUCUCUUUCUAGAGAUCCCUCCUUGGUGAAGCUUUCCCCUGCAAACCUGGAAUCUUCUGAUAUGGACACGGCUCAGCACAAAGGGUCCAAGACCAGAAGCACUCUAUUUUUUUACCAGAGAACUUAGCCCAUGUGGAAGUCACACAAACAAUGAACUGUUGCAGAUUACGUGCAGGCCAGAAGGAUUGCUCUGUGUGACCAUUUUUUCGGGAUCCAUUGUUUGUUAAGAGGCACCACGGGAGAUUCACGCGGGGUAACUGCAGGUGCAGUGUCACACAGCGUUCAGUCAGCACCACGACACGCUCUGAGGGUGCAGAGUUCAUGGGUGUUAGCACGCUCAGUACCGCUGAGAGGCUGAUAUUUUAAGCAUGUCUUGAAUGCCAACGUGUAAUUUGAUUAUCCGUUAUCAAGCCUGCACUACAGGAAUUCCUCUUCCAAUAGAAAUUCGGAUAGCUCAGCACAGAAAUUUGCCGUCCGGCUUUUUCCAUAAAUAUGUACGUGCAAAAAC